GCCGCGGUAUAUUGACCGUACAAAGGUAGCAUAAUCAUUAGUUCAUUAAUUGUGAACUUGUAUGAAUGAUUGGACGAGAGUAUAUCUGUUUCUUAUUUAAUUAAUGAAUUUUAUUUGUCUUUGAGAAAGAAGAUAUGUUUGUGAAAGACGAGAAGACCCUGUAGAGUUUUAUUAAAUGGCUUUAUUAAGUAUGUUUUUAGUUAUUAAUUUGGUUGGGGUUAUUUAAAAUAUUAAAUGUUUUAUUUAUUAUUAUUAUUAAUUAAGUAUAAUGAGCUAAAAAUUAAUUGGUUGAUUAAAUUACCUCAGGGAUAACAGCAUAAUUUGAUUAAGGAGUUCUUAUCUAUAAUUUAGUUUGUGACCUCGAUGU
rnacentral:rRNA from 1 species